CGCCGCCGCGGGAAUACGAAGGGUGCAAGCGUUACUCGGAAUUACUGGGCGUAAAGCGUGCGUAGGUGGUGGUUUAAGUCCGUUGUGAAAGCCCUGGGCUCAACCUGGGAAUUGCAGUGGAUACUGGGUCACUAGAGUGUGGUAGAGGAUAGUGGAAUUUCCGGUGUAGCAGUGAAAUGCGUAGAGAUCGGAAGGAACAUCUGUGGCGAAGGCGACUAUCUGGGCCAACACUGACACUGAGGCACGAAAGCGUGGGGAGCAAACAGGAUUAGAUACCCCCGUAGUCCCUGUCUCUUAUACA
rnacentral:rRNA from 1 species